GACGAACGCUGGCGGCGUGCCUAAUACAUGCAAGUCGAACGCUUCUUUCCUCCCGAGUGCUUGCACUCAAUUGGAAAGAGGAGUGGCGGACGGGUGAGUAACACGUGGGUAACCUACCCAUCAGAGGGGGAUAACACUUGGAAACAGGUGCUAAUACCGCAUAACAGUUUAUGCCGCAUGGCAUAAGAGUGAAAGGCGCUUUCGGGUGUCGUUGAUGGAUGGACCCGCGGUGCAUUAGCUAGUUGGUGAGGUAACGGCUCACCAAGGCCACGAUGCAUAGCCGACCUGAGAGGGUGAUCGGCCACACUGGGACUGAGACACGGCCCAGACUCCUACGGGAGGCAGCAGUAGGGAAUCUGCGGCAAUGGACGAAAGUCUGACCGAGCAACGCCGCGUGAGUGAAGAAGGUUUUCGGAUCGUAAAACUCUGUUGUUAGAGAAGAACAAGGACGUUAGUAACUGAACGUCCCCUGACGGUAUCUAACCAGAAAGCCACGGCUAACUACGU
rnacentral:rRNA from 1 species